CCUGGAAAUUGGACAGGAAACAAUUACUGCUUUACAGAAUUUAUCAGAGGAAAUGGUAAUAAAUCUUCUAACCACUAUUUCCCUCAUAGUACAUUUCUGACGCUAUUUCCCUAUAAUGGCACAUAAUGAAUCAAGAAGCAAAGGGAAAUAGUCCAUUAUCAACUUAGAAAAUAAUUCUUCAUUUUGUUUUGAAUCACCAGGGAUGAAGAAAGACUGAAAAAUGUUCAAUUAUGUAAUCAAAGUCACCGACUAAGAAAUUGUUUGAAGUGGUCAGCUGAACCCAAAUUUUGUUGAUAAGUCAGCACACUAUCCAUUUUGCUAUGCAACUGCCUUAUUUAUUGAAGUGGGUUUGCAGAUUCUUUGCAAAACUGAGGUUUUUAAAAACUGUUUUAAUACUUCCAUUUUAAGUAUACCUAACUUUUAUGAUAGAUUAAUCUGUUGAAUUAUAAAUGAAUUAUAAUUGAACUAAAAUAAUGAUAUUUUCAUCUAACCACUUAGCAGUGAAUAUGACAUUUAAAAAAAUUACUUUUCCUUGAAGUUAUAUUCCUGAUAUCUUUUAUUAGCAUUAAAAUCAAAGUUAUUUUAAAACAAAAGUAAUUAUUUUCACUUCUUUCUAUCCCUUUUCUCAAUAGUAUACCUAUGUAUGUCUGUGUAUUUGCAUGUAUGACUUAGGUACAAAUACAUACACAAGUAUGUGUUUAGAUUCACACAUUUAUAUACAAUAUAAAAUACAGGGCAUCUAUUAUAUGGAGAGACUGUAUGAUAUAAUGAAUAGGGAAAAUACCUGAAUUCAAGUUUUGCUUCUAUUUCAUUCCCUUUAUGUGACCAUGGGCAAGACACCUAACCCUUUGGUGCUGUUAGACAACUCUCUAAGACCAUAAAUUACAGUUGUGCAGCUAUGAAUUGUAACAAUUGGUCUUUAUAGCAAGAUAAAGAGAAGAUUCUAGAAAUGAAAAAUCCUGGAUCUACAUCCAGUCCAUCAAGACAGAUGCAGCAGAGGACUCUCAGAAAUAAUGGAAUAUGGAAAACACAAAAGACAAUCCAGAGGAGCAACGCUACGAAACCCAGGACUUGGAGACAAGCUAAAAGAAUAGUUCAUAUGGCAGGGCAAUCCUUGGAGGUGGCAAGCCUCCCCAGGACUGACCAAUCUUAACUAAGCUACUUCCCCCAAAAAAAAUUUACCCAAUUUUAAGUGGUUUCCUCACCCUUUGUUUUAACUCCAGCCCAAAUAUUCCAAGGAGUCUCAUCCAUUGAAUCUAUAACUGAUCAUAUCAUUCCCCUUCCACAACUUCUUUUCUUGUCACCCUUCCAGUACAUACGCCCUGUCCCUGGUGGUCAGACCCAAACAUCUAUAUUCUACUUCUACCUCAGAUAGCAAAAAUUGAUAUCAGACAUUUACUUACUUCAGCUUUGCUUGUCUGAUUUAAAUACAAAAGGAACAAAUGUAGCAGACAAAGCCUAAAAACCACCAGGAGCAAAGCUCUGGGAAAUACAGACCCUCAAAAAUCUGAAGCCAUAGUUCAGCUGAAGUUAAACAGGUAGCCCCAUAACCCUCCUUUCCAAUCCUCCCGCUGUGACUGAAUGUUCUUACAAAAUUACUGAUGUAUGUAUGCAUUCUCUGGGAAUCUGGGUUAGAUGACUGCAUAUUGACAUAUUGAUUUAUUAGCCUAUAGAAUUCUCUGUCUAGAUUCAAUGAGGUAAACCAAAUCCAUUGUACCAUCUUGUAAAUCAUUAGUUGAUCAUUACCUUUCAUUGUGUAUGUAAAAGCUUACCUAAGCUCUUAGCUUGCUUUCCCCACCAUAUAAAAGUAGAUGUAACUUUCAAUAAAGUGCCUCUGGUUUCUAUCAUCA